rnacentral:rRNA from 1 species
CUUUGAGGAGGGUGACGGGCGGUGUGUACAUUUUCUAGAGCUAAUUUCAUAUUCUUUUUAUUUAGUGUGAUUACUAUUGAAUCCUUUUUUAUUUAUCUUAUUAAGAUUAAAGUCCUCUGUUGAAAAGUAGGGUAGCUAAUUAUAACCAAUUUAUAAGUUGCACCUUGAUCUGAUUUUAAAAGAUUUCUUUUUUUGAUUACUUUCUUUAGAAGUAUUCUUUUACGAUGGUAUACAAGCUGAUUUCUAAAAUUGGAAAGGUGUCUUGUGGAUUAUCUAUUAAAUAACAAGCUCCUCCAAAAAGGUUUUGAAAACCGCCAAGUUCUUAAAGUUUAAGUUGUUUAACUAUACUUCUCUGGAGUUUUUGUUAUCGAAU